rnacentral:rRNA from 1 species
UACGAAGGGUGCAAGCGUUAAUCGGAAUUACUGGGCGUAAAGGGUGCGUAGGCGGUUGUUUAAGUCUGUCGUGAAAUCCCCGGGCUCAACCUGGGAAUGGCGAUGGAUACUGGGCAGCUAGAGUGUGUCAGAGGAUGGUGGAAUUCCCGGUGUAGCGGUGAAAUGCGUAGAGAUCGGGAGGAACACCAGUGGCGAAGGCGGCCUUCUGGACCAAUACUGACGCUCAUGCACGAAAGCGUGGGGAGCAAACAGG